GAUGAAGAACGCAGCGAAAUGCGAUACGUAGUGUGAAUUGCAGAAUUCAGUGAAUCAUCGAAUCUUUGAACGCACAUUGCACCUCUCGGUAUUCCGGGAGGUAUGCCUGUUCGAGCGUCAUUUGUACCCUCAAGCUCUGCUUGGUGUUGGGGCCUGCUGCACUGGCAGCCCUUAAAAUCAGUGGCGGCGCCAUCUGGCUCUAAGCGUAGUAAUUCUUCUCGCUAUGGAGUCCUGGUGGAUGCUUGCCAUCAACCCCCAAUUUUUCUAUGGUUGACCUCGGAUCAGGUAGGGAUACCCGCUGAACUUAAGCAUAUCAAUAAGCGGAGGA
rnacentral:misc_RNA from 1 species